UACGGGGGAGCAAGCGUUGUUCGGAUUUACUGGGCGUAAAGGGCGCGUAGGCGGCGUGACAAGUCACUUGUGAAAUCUCCGGGCUUAACUCGGAACGGUCAAGUGAUACUGUCGUGCUAGAGUACAGAAGGGCAACUGGAAUUCUCGGUGUAGCGGUGAAAUGCGUAGAUAUCGGGAGGAACACCAGUGGCGAAGGCGGCUGUCUGGGCCAGUUCUGACGCUGAGGCGCGAAAGCGUGGGGAGCAAACAGGG
rnacentral:rRNA from 1 species